rnacentral:rRNA from 1 species
UACGAAGGGGGCUAGUGGUGUUCGGAAUUACUGGGCGUAAAGCGCACGUAGGCGGAUUAGUAAGUCAGGGGUGAAAUCCCGGGGCUCAACCUCGGAACUGCCUUUGAUACUGCUGAUCUCGAGUCCGGAAGAGGUGAGUGGAAUUCCUAGUGUAGAGGUGAAAUUCGUAGAUAUUAGGAAGAACACCAGUGGCGAAGGCGGCUCACUGGUCCGGUACUGACGCUGAGGUGCGAAAGCGUGGGGAGCAAAUAGG